AUGGAGCAGUUGAACUUGGAAGAUGAAGUCUUUGAUGAUCUGGUGAUUGAUGAGAACGAUCCCGAGAUCAACGAGGGCGUCAGGUGGCUAGCCCUUGCUAGGGUUCACACAAACAAAACCUUCAGCCCGGCGGCCCUCUACAAGGAUAUGCGGGCGUGGAAUCCUUCUCAACAGGUGAAAUUCCGUCCAGUUGGCCCAAACCUGUUUGUUGUUCAGGCUGCGUGCCUCGGUGACUGGGAACGGAUGAUCGAGCAAGGUCCCUGGUUGUUUAGAAACUUCUUAGUGCUGAUGUGCCCCUAUGAUGGAUUCACCAAAGCAGAGGAGGUUCCUAUGGUGUUCAUGCCGAUUUGGCUCCAGAUCCACAAACUCCCAGAGGGUUUUUGUAAGAAAGGUAUUGUGGAACAUCUGCUUAGGAAUUCAGGGAAGAUCCUGGAGAUGAGGUUGAAUGGGAAUACUCGCGGGGACUAUGUGAGAAUUAGGGUUCGCCAUGAUGUGCAUCAGCCCCUAACCAAGUUCCUUAGUAUUGUAAGAGGCAGGGAGUGUCAGGUUUUCCUGGUGCGAUAUGAGAAACUUGCUCGAUUUUGCAGCGUCUGUGGCAUUAUAGGCCAUGAGUUCAAAGAGUGUGGUACUGGAAUCCAUGAGGAGAAGAGCAAGACAUUUGGCUCGUGGUUAUAUGCAGAUGGCCCUAACAAGCCACGACCGGAGGGUGCUAACCGGGGUGGUGACCAGAAGCCUGACUACACGCCCAGCCGAAGGAACUUGUCACAAAAGCCUGUUGACCCUGAAACUUUAGAUACAGCCUCGAGCCCGUCGAAGACCUCGCGGACAGACAUGCAAGUUGAUCCAUCGGUUAGGAAAAGACUCGCUUUGGAGGAGGCGGGCACUGGUGAAAAGAUAGGGAGCACCAAGGACCCAACUGGUGUUCUCACUCUGACCCUUGGUGAAGGGGAAGAUGGAGGUGGUAUUCACUCACCAACUAGCAGUUCAGGUAGUAAGCGAGCCAAACUUGGCUCUGAAGAUGUUUUAGAUGAUCGAUCGGCGGCCUCCUUCGAGGAGGACCGCCGGACACAAUGA
rnacentral:rRNA from 1 species